rnacentral:rRNA from 1 species
UUGAACGCUGGCGGCAGGCCUAACACAUGCCGGUCGAGCGGAUGAAGGGAGCUUGCUCCUGGAUUCAGCGGCGGACGGGUGAGUAAUGCCUAGGAAUCUGCCUGGUAGUGGGGGAUAACGUCCGGAAACGGGCGCUAAUACCGCAUACGUCCGGGGGGGGAAAGGGGGGGAUCUUGGGACCCAACGCUAUCAGAGGGGCCUAGGUCGGAUUAGCUAGUUGGUGGGGUAAAGGCCUACCAAGGCGACGAUCCGUAACUGGUCUGAGAGGAUGAUCAGUCACACUGGAACUGAGACACGGUCCAGACUCCUACGGGAGGCAGCAGUGGGGAAUAUUGGACAAUGGGCGAAAGCCUGAUCCAGCCAUGCCGCGUGUGUGAAGAAGGUCUUCGGAUUGUAAAGCACUUUAAGUUGGGAGGAAGGGCAGUAAGUUAAUACCUUGCUGUUUUGACGUUACCAACAGAAUAAGCACCGGCUAACUUCGUG